AUACUUACCUGGUGUUGGGCUCUUGAUCAUUUAGGUCGGGGCUCCGUGCCGAGGCUUACCAUUGCACUGCGGCUGGCUGAAGCGCGACACUACCCCAAACCGGGGUAGAUGGGACAUGUAAUUUUUGGUAGUGCAUGGGGCUCGGCGUGCGCGCCAGCCCCUC
rnacentral:snRNA from 1 species